rnacentral:rRNA from 1 species
AUACGGAGGAUGCGAGCGUUAUCCGGAUUUAUUGGGUUUAAAGGGAGCGUAGGUGGGAUAUUAGGUCAGCUGUGAAAGUUUGGGGCUCAACCUUAAAAUUGCAGUUGAUACUGGUUUCCUUGAGUACGGUACAGGUGGGCGGAAUUCGUGGUGUAGCGGUGAAAUGCUUAGAUAUCACGAAGAACUCCGAUCGCGAAGGCAGCUCAUCGAGCCAGAAAUGACACUGAUGCUCGAAAGUGCGGGUAUCAAACAGGAUUAGAUACCAUGGUAGUCCGCACAGUAAACGAGGAAUACUCGCUGUUGGCGAUAAACGGUAAGCGGGCAAGCGAAAGGGUUAAGUAUUCCACCUGGGGAGUACGCCGGCAAUAGUGAAGCUGAAAGGAAUUGACGGGG